rnacentral:miRNA from 1 species
GACGUCGAAUAUCGACGUCAUAAACACCAAAGUUGAUCGUGUUUAUGACGUCGAAUAUCGACGUCAUAAACACCAAAGUUGAUCGUGUUUAUGACGUCGAAUAUCGACGUCAUAAACACCAAAGUUGAUCGUGUUUAUGACGUGGAAUAUCGACGUCAUAAACACCAAAGUUGAUCGUGUUUAUGACGUCGAAUAUCGACGUCAUAAACACCAAAGUUGAUCGUGUUUAUGACGUCGAAUAUCGACGUCAUAAACACCAAAGUUGAUCGUGUUUAUGACGUCGAAUAUCGACGUC